rnacentral:rRNA from 1 species
GAUGAACGCUGGCGGCGUGCCUAAUACAUGCAAGUCGAGCGAACAGACCAGGAGCUUGCUCCUCUGACGUUAGCGGCGGACGGGUGAGUAACACGUGGAUAACCUACCUAUAAGACUGGGAUAACUUCGGGAAACCGGAGCUAAUACCGGAUAAUAUAUUGAACCGCAUGGUUCAAUAGUGAAAGUCGGUUUUGCUGUCACUUAUAGAUGGAUCCGCGCCGCAUUAGCUAGUUGGUAAGGUAACGGCUUACCAAGGCAACGAGGCGUAGCCGACCUGAGAGGGUGGUCGGCCACAUGGGAAGAGAGCAUGGGUCCAGACUCCGACGGGAAGCAGCAGUAGGGAAUCUUACGCAAUGGGCGAGAGGCGGACAGAGCAACACGGCGUGAGUGAUGAAGGUCUUCGGAUCGGAAAGCUCUGUUGUUAGUGGAGAACAAAUGUGUAAGUAACUGUGCAGGUAUUGACGGUACCGAAUCAAAAAGCCACGGCUAACUACGUG